rnacentral:rRNA from 1 species
AGAGUAUGAUACUGGCUCAGAACAAACGCUGGCGGCGUGUCUGAAUGAUGCAAGUCUUACGAGAAAGGUGUUUUCGGAUACCUAGUAAAGUGGCGAACGGGUGAGUAACACGUGUGUAACCUGCCUUUGGAUUGUGGGAUAACACCCCGAAAGAGGUGCUAAUACCCAAUAGAGUUACCUGACACCAGUCAUUUAAUGAAAGAUGGCCUCUGCUUGCAAGCUAUCGUCCAAAGAUGGGCACGCGGUCUAUUAGCUAGUUGGUGAGGUAACGGCCCACCAAGGCUACGAUGGAUAGCUGGCCUGAGAGGUGGUCGGCCAUACUGGGAUUGAGAUACGGCCCAGACUCCUACGGGAGGCAGCAAAUCGGAAUAAUCGACAAUGGGAGAAAUCCUGAUCGUGCGACGCCGCGUGAGCGAUGAAGGCCUUCGGGUUGUAAAGCUCUGUGUCAUGGGAAGAAAUCUGGUAUGUGAAUAAUUUGCCAGUCUGACGGUACCAUAAUAGAAAGCCCCGGCUAACUACGUGCCAGCAGCCGCGGUAAUACGUAGGGGGCAAGCGUUGUUCGGAAUUACUGGGCGUAAAGGGCGUACAGGCGGUUAUGUAAGUCAGAUGUGUAAUCCUCAGGCUUAACCUGAGACUUGCAUUUGAUACUGCAUGACUUGAGAUCAGGAGAGGAGAGUGGAAUAUGUGGUGUAGCGGUGAAAUGCGUAGAGAUCACAUAGAACACCGGUGGCGAAGGCGGCUCUCUGGCCUGAUUCUGACGCUGACGCGCGAAAGCUAGGGUAGCGAACGGGAUUAGAUACCCCGGUAGUCCUAGCCGUAAACGAUGGGUACUAAGUGUAGGAGGUAAUUGACCCCUUCUGUGCUGUAGCUAACGCAUUAAGUACCCCGCCUGGGGACUACGACCGCAAGGUUAAAACUCAAAGUAAUUGACGGGGCCCCGCACAAGCGGUGGAGCAUGUCGCUUAAUUCGAAGCAACGCGAAGAACCUUAUCCAGUGGCUUGACAUCCUCUGACAACCGUGGAAACACGGCUUUCCCUUCGGGGACAGAGUGACAGGUGCUGCAUGGCAGUCGUCAGCUCGUGUCGUGAGAUGUUGGGUUAAGUCCCGCAACGAGCGCAACCCCUAUCUCUAGUUGCCAGCGCGUAAUGGCGGGGACUCUAGAGAGACUGCCGGUGAUAAACCGGAGGAAGGUGGGGAUGACGUC